rnacentral:rRNA from 1 species
UACGGAGGGUGCAAGCGUUAUCCGGAUUCACUGGGUUUAAAGGGUGCGUAGGCGGGUAUAUAAGUCAGUGGGUGAAAGCUCCCGGGCUUAACUUGGAAACUGCCAUUGAUACUGUAUAUCUUGAAUGUCGUUGAGGUAAGCGGAAUGUUGCAUGUAGCGGUGAAAUGCUUAGAUAUGUUACAGAACACCAAUUGUGAAGACAGCUUACUAAGCGAUAAUUGACGCUGAGGCACGAAAGCGUGGGGAGCAAACAGG